rnacentral:rRNA from 1 species
CAUUCGGAGCAUCAGGUAGACANCGUGGUGCAUAGUUGUCGUCAGCUCGUGUCGUGAGAUAGUUGGGUUAAGUCCCGCAACGAGCGCAACCCCUGAUCUUAGUAGCCAGCGGUUCAGGGNGGGCACUCUAGGGAGACUGCCAGGGAUAACCUGGAGGAAGGCGGGGAUGACGUCAAGAUCAUCAUGCCCCUUAUGACUUGGGCUACACACGUGCUACAAUGGCGUAAACAAAGGGAAGCGAAGCCUGUGANGCCGAGCAAAUCUCAAAAAUAACGUCUCAGUUCGGACUGUAGUCUGCAACCCUGACUACACGAAGCUGGAAUCGCUAGUAAUCGCANAUCAGAAUGCCNGCGGUGAAUACGUUCCCGGGCCUUGUAC